UGGGGAAUAUUGGACAAUGGGCGCAAGCCUGAUCCAGCCAUGCCGCGUGUGUGAAGAAGGCCUUUUGGUUGUAAAGCACUUUAAGCGAGGAGGAGGCUACUUGGAUUAAUACUCUAGGAUAGUGGACGUUACUCGCAGAAUAAGCACCGGCUAACUCUGUGCAAGCAGCCGCGGUAAUACAGAGGGUGCGAGCGUUAAUCGGAUUUACUGGGCGUAAAGCGUGCGUAGGCGGCUUUUUAAGUCGGAUGUGAAAUCCCUGAGCUUAACUUAGGCAUUGCAUUCGUUACUGAGAAGCUAGAGUAUGGGAGAGGAUGGUAGAAUUCCAGGUGUAGCGGUGAAAUGCGUAGAGAUCUGGAGGAAUAACGAUGGCGAAGGCAGCCAUCUGGCCUAAUACUGACGCUGAGGUACGAAAGCAUGGGGAGCAAACAGG
rnacentral:rRNA from 1 species